rnacentral:rRNA from 1 species
UGGGGAAUAUUGGACAAUGGGCGCAAGCCUGACCGAGCGACGCCGCGUGCGGGAUGAAGGCCUUCGGGUUGUAAACCGCUGUCAGUUGGGAGGAAAUGCAUCAGGGUUCUCUCUGGUGUUUGACCGAUCUUCAGAGGAAGGCCGGGCUAAGUUCGUGCCAGCAGCCGCGGUAAGACGAACCGGCCGAACGUUAUUCGGAAUCACUGGGCUUAAAGAGUGCGUAGGCGGCCUGGCAGGUGAGGUGUGAAAUCCCUCGGCCCAACCGAGGAACUGCGCUUCAAACCGCCAGGCUUGAGGGAGAUAGAGGUGAGCGGAACAGAUGGCGGAGCGGUGAAAUGCGUUGAUUUCAUCUGGAACACCUGUGGCGAAAGCGGCUCACUGGGUCUCUUCUGACGCUGAGGCACGAAAGCUAGGGUAGCGAACAGGAUUAGAUACCCGUGUAGUCC